CGGGUGAGUAAUACAUAAGUAACCUGCCCUAGACAGGGGGAGUAACUAUUGGAAACGAUAGCUAAGACCGCAUAGGUACGGACACUGCAUGGUGACCGUAUUAAAAGUGCCUCAAAGCACUGGUAGAGGAUGGACUUAUGGCGCAUUAGCUGGUUGGCGGGGUAACGGCCCGCCAAGGCGACGAUGCGUAGCCGACCUGAGAGGGUGACCGGCCACAUUGGGACUGAGACACGGCCCAA
rnacentral:rRNA from 1 species